AGAGCAGAGGUAUGAUAGGCAGGGGAUGUGGUACGAUGUGCUGGAAGUGACCUUGGAUCCUCAAUCGAGACCCUUUCCAGGUACCAGGGUAGAGCAGUGCCUACUCUGAGUGAUCCAAUCUUCAAGGCUGUGUUUAACGUCAUGUUAUGCUGAAAAACAGCCUUAUGAAGACCAAACAGGUUCAGGGUGGUGCAGCUCAAUGAAGAUGAGGUAAACACCUGCUCCCACUGCGCCACCCACCAUGGGCCCUACCACAGGAAUCCACCACCAGCAGCCUCCAGCUCUGCAGACAGGGGACAUACGCAGAGAUUAUGAUGUCACAAAAACACAGCCCCAAACGUAUCUGGUCUUAUUAAGGAUUUAAAAUAAUUCAUCUUUGCGUCAAUUUAACCAUGGAAAGUGUUUCUCAGUGGCUCUGAAGGUGCUUUGACAAAUAAACAAAAACUAGUGACUUGUUUGCUUAUUGCACAGUCCUAAAAAACAAACAAACUAGGAUCAUGAAGUAAAAAGUUUACCAUACAGAGAGAGGCUGAUGUUAGAUUCAUGCCGAGGAAUCACUAACAAGAGUGAAAUUCUAAUAUUUUUAUUUAUACUCUAAUAAACGGGAUAAUCAUUAAGACAGACAGCUGACGGAAAUGUCUUGUUAGGAUUUUAAAAAACACUACAAACAAUACGAAAAUAUUACAUUUAUGUUUUGGUUUCAAAGAGUAGUUUUAUGUUGAUUUGCUAGAACUGAGCAGGAACCUCCAGUGCUGAAAAAUGUAACAAAAACUGUAGUUCCUCCAGUGGCCACUUGAGGCCAGCUCCAAAAGUGAGUUAAAAUCAUUCUUCUAAUGCUCGACAUAGCCAUCGUCACAUCAGGAAUAAACAAAGUUAUGACCUGAUACAAAAAAUUGUGUUUUUUACAACUCUGACUUCACUUUGAGUUUCAAAGGUUGGUGCCAGUAGAGUAUGAGUUACUUCAUGGCUAGGUUUGUAGAGUGUGUUGGACAAACAAUAUGACUAACAUUAUUGUUAAUUAUACCUGUAGACUGCCCAAGAAACCUGAGUGCCAGUUUUGAGUUAAAUUCUAGUGGUUUUUGUUUUUCAAAUUAAUGUUACUUAGCCCUAACUAGCAGAUAUCUCAUUCUGUGAAAUGCAACUAGCUAGCAUUAUCUGAUAACUUAGAUGUAGCUUCUGGGUCCGAAAACAGGAGCCAGUACCCUAAACUUGCAUUCCUUUUAAUGGCCAUCAGGGGGCGAAAGCUAUAUUUGCAGAAUGACUCACAGUCCAAUAGAUGUCUCUCUACUGGGACCACAGUAAAUACUUUACUGUUGAGUUUAUGGUCUUUGGAAGUAUUUUCUGGUUAUACUGUAUAAAGCAUUGAGUCCAUUUUGUAAUGUUUUAUAACUUUAAGUUUCAGAAAGGAGGAUUAUCCAGGAAAUAUUCAUUAGCUGGCAACUUAACAACUUAUGAGCCAAAAACAAGUCAACAGCUAAUAAGCAUAUGGCUUCAAAGUCAGACAUACCCCUCAUUGUCUCAUCUCAAAAUGGCUCAAAAUGGGACUUCAUCAGCUCUGUCCAUCUUUUACAUACAGUCUGUGGCUAAAACCUGAAGAGUCCGUCUCCGUCCUAAGAUAAUUAAACCUACCUACCACCACCUUCAAUGCUCAGUAGGUAACAUGUUUUAUCCCCAUUUUAUUGAUCUAAGGAUUUGCAGGUUUAUUGGUGAUAUUGUGGCCGAUUAAUCUGUCCACAUCACAGUGGGUUCAUGGAUGAUACUGCUAUGCUAAUAUAAGCAAUUAUGGUGUAACUAGCUGCUAGGAUUGCCUUUAUUUCAGACAUAGAUGGUGUUUAUUACUUGCCUUUGGCUGAUGAGUCUCUUGUGUUUGUCCAUCUCGCACUGACACAUGCUGACACAUGUGAGAUGGUUUAUGUUGUUGUUGUUUUUAACAUUUUGAGUUAAAAAAAACAAACCCAGAUGGAUCAGAUGGGAAUGAAGAUUAUAGUCAUAAUGCCUCAGAUAGGCAGAUAUGCUAGCUAUAUUUUUGAAUCAAAAUUGCAACUUGGAUGUUGUUUUAAAUGCUAUAAAAAAUAAAAGACUGCAAACAUGGCACAAAUGCAGCACAAUUAAUGUUGUAUUAUUAUUUUUUCUUUUGUAUGAUCUCUAAUUUUAUUAAUUAAUUAGGUAGGUUAAUUAGUAGGUUUAAAAGAUAUAUUGUGAACUGCUUCACUAGUCUCUUUGUUUAUGUUAGUAUCCUCCUACCGGAGACAAGUUAUCCCAGAUUACAUUAAAGACUAAGAAGCUCUGUUUGUUGGACCAGCUGCUUGUGUCCUCAUUUUCACUCUGCCCCCCCGCAAAGACUCUUUUACUUAGAAGAGGGAGUUAGAGUCUUGUGGGUUAAUGUAGCAAUAGGUGAAAGGGCUUCAAUUAAAAGAGCAGGCCUGAAAGUAAACAAGGUCCAGCAGACAUUCAGGAAGUAGACUUGA